rnacentral:rRNA from 1 species
UCUGACACAGGUGCUGCAUGGCUGUCGUCAGCUCGUGUCGUGGAGAUGUUGGGUUAAGUCCCGUAACGAGCGCAACCCUUGUCCUUAGUUACCAGCACGUUAAGGUGGGCACUCUAAGGAGACUGCCGGUGACAAACCGGAGGAAAGGUGGGGAUGACGUCAAGUCAUCAUGGCCCUUACGGCCUGGGCUACACACGUGCUACAAUGGUCGGUACAAAGGGUUGCCAAGCCGCGAGGUGGAGCUAAUCCCAUAAAACCGAUCGUAGUCCGGAUCGCAGUCUGCAACUCGACUGCGUGAAGUCGGAAUCGCUAGUAAUCGUGAAUCAGAAUGUCACGGUGAAUACGUUCCCGGGCCUU